rnacentral:rRNA from 1 species
GACGAACGCUGGCGGCGUGCUUAACACAUGCAAGUCGAACGGAAAGGCCCCUUUGGGGGUACUCGAGUGGCGAACGGGUGAGUAACACGUGAGUAACCUGCCCUUGACUUCGGGAUAACUUCAGGAAACUGGGGCUAAUACCGGAUAGGAAUCCUUGCUGCAUGGUGGGGGUUGGAAAGCUUCGGCGGUUUUGGAUGGACUCGCGGCUUAUCAGCUUGUUGGUGGGGUAGUGGCUUACCAAGGCUUUGACGGGUAGCCGGCCUGAGAGGGCGACCGGCCACAUUGGGACUGAGAUAAGGCCCAGACUCCUACGGGAGGCAGCAGUGGGGAAUAUUGCACAAUGGGCGGAAGCCUGAUGCAGCAACGCCGCGGGCGGGAUGACGGUCUUCGGGUUGUAAACCGCUUUCAGCAGGGGCGAAGCUUGUGGUGACGGUACCUGCAGAAGAAGCACCGGCUAACUACGUG